rfam:Arthrobacter sp. TCD-GKA scaffold_12, whole genome shotgun sequence.
UUGUGAUUCCAUUCACUACGGAUCGUCGGGCACGUACCUGCCCGUGAAAGGAUUGCUGC